rnacentral:rRNA from 1 species
AACGCGAAGAACCUUACCUGGGCUAGAAAACGUAGGAACCUGGGUGAAAACUCGGGGUGCUCUUCGGAGAAUCUACGGUUAGGUGUUGCAUGGCUGUCGUCAGCUCGUGUCGUGAGAUGUUGGGUUAAGUCCCGCAACGAGCGCAACCCUUGUCGUUAGUUGCCAGCAUUGAGUUGGGCACUCUAACGAGACUGCCGACUUUCAAGUCGGAGGAAGGUGGGGAUGACGUCAAGUCCUCAUGGCCCCUAUGUCCAGGGCUACACACGUGCUACAAUGGUCGGUACAAAGGGCUGCGAAACCGCGUGGUGGAGCCAAUCCCAAAAAACCGGCCUCAGUACGGAUUGGAGUCUGCAACUCGACUCCAUGAAGGCGGAAUCGCUAGUAAUCCCUGAUCAGCAUGGCAGGGGUGAAUACGUUCCCGGGCCUGUACACAC